rnacentral:rRNA from 1 species
AGUGAACGCUGGCGGCGUGCCUAAUACAUGCAAGUCGAACGCGAAAGUCCUUCGGGAUGAGUAAAGUGGCGCACGGUGAGUAAUGGUUGAGAACAUGCCCUGAGGUGGGGAAUAACAGUUGGAAACGACUGCUAAUACCGCAUGGUUUCGAAAGAAUAAAGGUGGGGACCGCAAGGCCUACCGCCACAGGAUUGGCUCAACUCCCAUUAGCUAGUUGGCAGGGUAAUAGCCUACCAAGGCAACGAUGGGUAUGUGGUCUUAGAGGAUGAUCACACACACUGGAACUGAGACACGGUCCAGACUCCUACGGGAGGCAG